AUCUGAUGAUGAGGGAAACUGGCACACAACUGCUUGAAUCUCUCCCAAUACUCAUAUAAUGACUCCCCAUUCUGUUGGAAAAUGCCACAAAUUUCCUUCCUCAUUCU